GAGAGGUUGGCGACGAUGGUGGUGAAUCUUCUCCACUAUUCAUCACCGCCACUAUCAUCGGCCCACACUGUCACCACGACCAUCACCCAAUCCCCAGCGCACCUCCCCCACCAACCCCAAUAACACCACUUAAAACCCCCAAAUUGUCACACAUCUUCGAUUCAAGAAGCAAAAACUCAUCUCCUAUGGGCUCCAAGCAACCUAGCUUCGGUGACGGUGCAAGCCGUAGGAAGAUUUUAAUCGGUGGUUUAGCAAAGAUACUACCAUAGGUACAUUGUUAACUAUUUUACAAAGUAUGGAGACCUGACAGAUUUGGUUAUCAUGAAAGAUCAGUAAACUGGUCGUCUGAGGUGCUUCGGGUUUAUUACGUAUGCGGAUCCUUCGGUUGUUCACAUUGCUUUGAGGAGUAUCAAAAUAAUGGAAUUAUAUUAUCAAAAUAAUGUUCAUCAGCUUACUCGAAGGUUAGCCCCCUCUGCUAGCCUUGAUGGAAGCGAAAGAAAUCAGGCAAGUGAAAGUGAAGUUGACUAUAGCUUUUUGGCAAGCGAUCUAAACAAAGAAGCAUAGCCCAGUAAUGACUAUCAAUUUACUAAGAGAAGAAAGAUCGGAUUGUAGGCUAGGU